GAGAGAGAGAGAGAGAGAUAAUGAUGGGAAGAGAGAGAAAAUAGGUUUGGGAGAGAGAAUGGAGUGAGAGGAGAGAGAAUAUUUUUUCUAUGACAAGUGCCACCUCAUCAUAUUUAAUCAGGAAAUCUGUGAUAAUGACGCAACGUGAAGCUUAAGGAAAAAACACUUUCACACAAUACAUAAGUAUUGGGAGAAAAACUCUCUUGGAUUUUAUUAGUUAAAUCUCAAAUCUGAAAUUACAUAGAAUAUAUUAGCUAUUUAUAAGGAUUUUAAUCUCCUAAACCUAAUGGGAAAAUAGCUCUACUAAAUAGGAAGUUUAGAUGAACUAAAUUACAAUACGAAAUCCAAAACAAAAUAGGAAGAAUUCUAAAUCCUACUUAGAAUAGGAAUAUUAAAUAAAUCCUAAAUGAAAUAGGAAACCAAGAAGAAAUCCUAUUUGAAAUAGCAAAAUAAAAUAAACUAAUUUUGGCAAGCUAAAACUCUCCCGAAACAAGUAGAAACUUUCCAAAAACAAGUAGGAUCAUGUU
rnacentral:misc_RNA from 1 species